UUUGAAAACAUUAGCGAAACCAGUCGAUUCUUCAACAAGAAAAAAGUCGAACAUCGAUUCAUCGAUCGAUUAUCGUUUUUCAUUCAUGAACGAAUGACGGCAAGCUGAAGCCAUAUAUUAGAAGGAAGGUAGGAAGGAAGGAAGGAAGGAAUGACGGCGUAACAUAACCUAUCAUCGUGAUCCGAACGAGCGUGUCAGCAGAGUUUCGUUCGUGUCGCAUUGAUUUCUUUUGCACAAAGGACGUAACGAAAUCGCGGUUCCUGUUGAGCAGAUCGAUCGGCUGGCAUGUCAGGUGGAAUCAACGACGCGACAUUAUCUGACUCGGUCACGGUGAGCGCCUAAUUGCGGCGUACAUCGGCAUACACGUACAUCGCACAUCCGUCACGAAGAAUGGCCUCCCCGAAGUGCGGAGAGCAAUGAACCAGUUAUUAUGUUGCCGUCGACCGGUUACUUCAAGACGAUAAAUUGCCCGUUUUAUGACAGCGGAUCGUGCGAUCGUCCUUACUGUCACUUCAAACAUGCUAGACGUGAAGAUGGAGGAAGCUCAGCAGGAGUGGCCGGAAUGGUGGAGGCCCAGACGACAGGCCAGACGCAGGAGAACAAAACCUCCUCUGUGGUGACAUCGAAUUCUCACAUGCUUGAACAUCUGGUAACGGAAGCUGUAAAGAAGGUGCUCGCGGAUCAGGAAGUCACAGAUGCACAGAAGUUUCCUGAGAACAUUGUCUCUCAGGUGGUCGAGGAGCUCAAACCGACUUUGGCCUCCAGCUCCACUGCUUCUAUGCGCAAUACUACACCAAAUAUAGUAGGGAAGCACAUUGCGAUUCCCACGCCUAUCACGAAGCCGGUGGCUUGCGUUUAUAAUCCCACGCCGAUAUCGGAACUGAAGAAACGUCAUAUACCGGUGAUCUCGUAUAUGCCGACCAGAGAAAGUAGAGUGGCUGUGAAACGUAAGUGCUCUCCUGAGAGAGCUAAACCAUGGUUGAGUGUAGUUCAAGAAUCCAGCAGUUCUCAACAGCCGGAGAUUACAUACAAACCCACUGCUAUAAUCAACACAACCGACCAGGAUGCCGUACCAGGUUACAUACCUACUUUCAAGUCGGAUUCGUCCACAUCGAAUUCGUACGACGAUAGUAACUCAAACGAUUAUCAGUCGAAGUUCAAGGAAGCGUAUUAUCCAAAGUCUAAGAAGAGGAGGGAGGAAUAUGUUCCUAAGAUGGUUAAAGCGCCGUUGAAAACGGCUCAACAAUUGGACGACGUUACCGUGGAUCAAUUUGAACCGGAACUUGAUAUAAUCGACGAGAUCUUUACUGCCAGUCACACUGCUCCAAACGUAUUGGGACAAGUCAAAGUGUUGUCCAGCGAAGAUUCACAAGAUUACUCUUUGGACAUUGAACCGAAAUUCUCAGACGAUGAACUAGUUGAAGAUAUAUCCAAAGAUGAAGGUGGCGCAAGUGUCAAGAAAGACGAAGAAACUAUGGACGUGGACGAGAAAGGGAAAGAGAAUUUACAACAUGCGAAGAUUGAUGAGCAAACAAGCAAUAAGGGUAAUAAGGUGCGCAAUAAUCAUUGCGACGUUAAAACGGGUGAUACAAAAAGUAGCAAUAAGUCUAAGCAAUACAAGGGAAGUGACGCGAACAAGUCUUCGGAUAAAAGGAAAGAAGGUGUUAAAGAGGACACCAAUAAGGAGAAAGAGGCACAGAGCAGUCACAGUAAAAGUAAGAAGAAAGAUAAAAGAGAUCAUCACAGUUCUGAGAGGAAGGACAAAGACAAGUCUGGACAUAAAUCGGAUUCCAAAAGUAGGCACCAUUCCUCCUCUAACAAAGACAAGGAUAAAAGGCGAAGCAGCCGUGACAGUAAGGAAUCUUCGCACAAAGAUAGAGAUCACUCCCGGAGGGAUAAACAUAGCUCUCCGAAGAGAGAUCGAGAUGAUCACCACAAAUCCAGCCGGCACGACAAGCACAAGUCCAAAACUAGCUCCAGCUCCAAGUCGAGCAAACAUACAGCGAGCAAAAGCGAUAAGAAACACCAGUCGGGAUCGGGUCGGAGACCUAGCACCUCCUCCAGGAAAUCUAGUGAGCGCAAAGAGAGUAGCAGCGAAAGAAAUUCAUCUGACGGAUCUGUUGAUAGUCCUUUGAAUAACACUCAUCCUUUCAUAGACGACGAAAUUCUAGAACUGUCAGAUUCGGAUCACGAUGUACAGGAAGAAUGCCUAAAGAUUUUUCAGGAAUAUCAAGUGUCCGAACAGCCGAAGGUAGUGUCGAUCAAAGAAUCGACGAGACGCGAGCCCGAGGAUGUGGAAGAGGUCGGUAGGAAGAGGGUCGCGCACCCCUCGGCGGCCACGAGCGUCACCAAACACGUAGGUCCUAGUCAGCCACCGAAGAAAUUGAUCAAUCCGCAGCAGAAAAUGUACGAGCGGUGGCGUCUAUUGCGAGAAGCGGCGGCUGAGAAGGCCGCGGCGAAGUUAGCAGCUGAAGCGAAGGCUCAGGUAUCCUCCACGUCGGCACUUAAACUCUCCAGUAACGUACGCAAGGAGUCCACCGAGUCCACUUCGUCGAUAAGCAACAGUCACUCACAGCUGAAUGGGAAUGGUCGCGUUAGAAUCGCUCACGUUCCGUACGCGAAGUCUCUCGCGAUGGAGAAGAAGAAAGUCGCAGUGAUGUCGGCGAAAGGCAAGGACGAGGCGGACAGCAAAACUCCGGCGCAAACCACUAAGGGCGGUGUGCGCAUCGCUCACGUGCCGCAAUCGAUACCUCAACUAGUACGACCGGAACCGCUUCAAGUCGCCACCCAGAAAUUUCCUUUGAACGUUCGCCAGUAUUAUAUUAAUAUUAUGCACGAUAUAUGCGUGCAAGUUUACACGAGCGGUGACGACGCAGCCGAGCGUGCUGUCAAAGAGGAGCUCGCGUGUCACGAUAGAUGUAAGGUGCUCCCGGUGUACAAAAAUGCGUGUAUAUUAGCGACUCACAGACUGAGGAAAGAAGUCGAUCAGAGCAAAUCGGGCGGGAAAUCCGCCGGAUCGAGCUGCGGUAUGGUAUCCCACGAGGCUGUACUCGCCGGCAAGUCGAAGGGUUCUUGGAGCGUAGUCAGAACCAAGAAGAACGUUAUAGAUUACAAAGGAUCCGCACUCUACAGUGUGCUGAAGAAGUGGAUCAUGUCGGAGGAUCAGCUCAGAGAAAACGGAUUUCCUCGCAAUCAUCCGGACGGUCCCAAGGGACGAGCGAAAGUAUACGUGAUAAAUUCGCGAAACCAAAGUGUUUUGUCAAAAGUGCCUAACGAAAGAAUGUGUAGUCGCUGUGGCCAAGCGUACAUGGUAGAUAGACACGGCUUCUCUGUACGGCAACAAAACUGUAUAUAUCAUUGGGGAAGAAAGUUCACGAUCAGAGGCGAGGGCAAGUACAGUUGUUGCCAACAAUACGGAUCCGCCUCUGGUUGUUGCGACGCAAAGACGCACGUAUGGGACUAUACGGAUUAUGAGAAUCUUCGCGGCUACGUUAAAACUUUGCCGAAAGAUGGCUCUGUGGAAGAACAAGGUGUCUACGCGCUCGAUUGUGAGAUGUGCUACACUACGUACGGCUUAGAAUUGACCAGAGUGACGGUCAUCAACGAUGAUUGCAACGUCAUAUAUGAAACAUUAGUGAAGCCACAAAAUCCAAUAAUCGAUUACAACACGAGGUUCUCAGGGAUCACGGAGGAAGAUAUGAAGAACGUGACGACGACUCUUUUGGACGUACAGGCUACGUUUCUUACAAUGUUCUCCGAUAAAACGAUCUUGGUGGGUCACAGUCUUGAGAGCGAUUUUAAAGCUUUAAGACUGCUCCAUGAUACUGUCGUGGACACCAGCGUUAUGUUUCCGCAUAAAAACGGAUACCCGCAAAAACGGGCAUUGAAAAAUCUUUGUUCCGAGUUUCUCAGAAAACUCAUACAAAAUGAUAUCGGCGGUCACGACAGUAAAGAGGAUGCCGUCUCUUGUAUGGAGUUAAUUCUGUGGAAAGUGAAGGAAGAAGCGAAACUGCAGUGAGCAGAACUGAAUUCAUAGAUUUCAAACGCAAGAACAAAUGCCAUCGCGUUUGCUGUACACCAGCCAUCUCUUUUGUAACGCGCGUUGAACGGUACAUACUCUACUGCCGCAGAGAUCCUUGAUUUGAGGAUUCCAGAAACGAGGAAAACGAAGAGCUGAAUAAACGCAAAGUGGUACACCAGUGAAUCUUACAUAACUUAAAAUCGCCCUACUUCUUCGACAUUUACAAUCACCUCAACAGCACAUCAAGCAAAUAUCAUGGCCGUUCUAAAAACUAAAAUGGGGAGAUCUGCGUCAAAAUAUUUCUCGACUACUAUGCUGCUCGACGAUUUCGUUUAACGAUUGAAAGCAUAAUUUCAGCUAGAGACAUCGUGAUUAUUACGCACCGGUGCUCCAUGCCUCGUCGUCGUCGUGAAACUCGUGAUUAACGUCGUAAUUGACUAACAGACGUCGACAUCAUUGUGUACCUGCGAAAGUCGAUCUACGACGUGAAGUGCCUAACCCUCUCUUCCGUUACAACUUUAACAGAACGCAGAACAGGAACAUAUUUCGGAACACUGCACGAUCUCUCUGUGUGUGUCGGAACCGUUACCGAAUGUAUUCUGUACAAGACGCACUUCUUAUAUUAACACGAUACUGUAUACAAAAUAUUUCUUUUUCUUCUCGCCGCUUAUAUUAUUGUCUGCACGUACGUCGUUCUAACUUACGGUGCAAACGCUAUAUUAGGUUACAGACAAUUUUCUUCAAGUGGUUAUGUUUCGUGAGAUUAUUACGUCGCGAGAUGUGCGAAUUUUUACGGUCCGGCGAUCGAGUGGUAGUAUCGUUCCGCUCCGCGAUAUCCUCCCCGUUACAAGUUUAUGUCGCACACAAAGAAAAUGACUAAAAUAUAUUGUUUCCGCUUGUUUCUUUUUUUUUUUAUUUGUAAAAGUCGGUUUUGUACAAUGGAUGCUAUACUCGUCCAACUUUACAUACAAAAUACUUUUCGUAUAUCCGUCCUCAGAUUGCAUAUUAUUGUCUGCGUAUUAUAGCACAUUUCUUCUCGUUAGUACAAUCAUUUAUGUUUGUAAGAAUUAACAAACGCAUGCGCAUAAAAAGAAAAAAUGAAGCUUUAUAUAACGUUCGCACAUUGACGCCACGAGCGAGAAACUCGUUGAAACAUUUGAGAGCGCUCAAUCAUCACACAUAAUCAAGUAUAUGCACGCGACUUGAUAGAGCUAACAUCGCGUCACAAAUAGGUGCGAGUUCGUGCUUUUUUCGGAUCUUACGCGAGAUCCCCCGACGCUGUUUCGAUCGCGUUGAUAAAGAAGCACCGUGAAGCAACGCUACCGUCAGACCUUCAAGGCGAGUGAAAAAUAUCUCGGCAGCGCGAACGUCGGACGAAUUUAUGCACUUGUUAAUUGUCGUGCACCCCCCCCCCCUUGUAAUUUCCUCCUUCCGGCGAAACGUAUUGUGCUAUCUCGAUCGAAUCUCGAUAUUGAACGCAGUUUUCACCGCAAAAGACACACGCGCGCGCACACGUGUUCGGAAAGCGCGUGUUGGCCGUUCUCUCGGCGGUACCGGAUAUCUGCUAUUAAUAGACGCACUGCAAUUCCAAUAGCAACGGUAAAGCGAUAAUACUGAGAAAGUAUGUGCCGAAAGGCGAUAGGAUGCGAAAAUCCUUCUCCCUGCCGCGAAGGCUAAAUAUUAGUCUUCGACGCGCGCGACGCCUCUACGGGGUAAUGCGCUAUACAAUAAUAUGUACAAGGGAAUAUGACGACACCUCUCUUCCCACGGGAUAUCCUAAUUUACGUACUAUACAAUGUGCUAUCGCAAGCCGACAGAUUUAUCGAACGAAGCUAACUUCGACCGAAGUAUCGCCGUCACAAUGAUAAAAAAAACCUUCUCGUCCGCCUCUUUGUUUGCCCCCUCUGUUUCUUUGAACACAAAAGCGUGUUGUCGUACGUAUGCCACGUUCGCAACGAUGUCAGGGUGAAUCAAAUUAUCUGUACAACUCGGUCGAUCGGUUGACCGCAACGAGACGUUAACUAAAUGCACUUUUCAGCUUCGUUAAAAUGCUGCCGAUCGCUGUCUCCUCGAAGCGGCGCUAUCGAGUCGUGAACGUCGAACGAUUUCGCCAAGGUUCAUCCUUGUCCGUCCUUUGCAAUUUCAGAAUUUGCUAUUUCGCUAGUAAUACUUCUAAGUGUGAUUUGAAUCGCGCACGCGCGAGCAAAAUUUGAAUUAGUUUCUGUCUGGUCUCUACGUCUCGAUUUUAGGCAUCAAGCUUCGACUAUCGCGUGUCCAUAUCGCGCGUAUACUUUUCGUCUGAUCCUUUCGAUAUAACAUCACGAUACAUCCGCAAAACAUCUAAUUCGCGCGUGAAACUUUAGAAAAUGGACUCGUGGCUUUGGGCUAAAUGAUGAUAGCCUAUAGUGAACGUGAAGUCAUUGAUCACUCUCUGUCACACGAGAUUCUGCGUUUUGCCAGCUCUCGAAUUUACCAGGAUUCGUGGCAAUCGAUUACCUUUUCGAUAGAUUCGGUCAAUUGAGAAGGGAAUUUGAAACUAGCUAUCUCUCUUCUUCUUCUCUGUGCAGGAGGAAGACUAAAUAUCGAUUGAACGCACCGCACGAGUUACGGCAGGAGUUUACGCGGCGGAUACUGUACUUGAAGAUCGAGCGAAUCCGAGAGCACCUAAAGAACUUCGAAAAAUAGGUCGCGUGGCAGCUUCUAAUAUCUAUCUAAAUUUCGUCGUAUACGAAGGCAACUAUUCGAAGACACAUACGCGUUGGUAUUACAACUACACGUACUCUUCUUCACCUCCCCCUCCCCCCGACACUUUCACGCGUGCUCCGUAGAAGAACCAGAAUUCUCGCUGAGCCUCGAUGGUUCACGGAGUCGUACACACGGAAUUGUGCCCCUCUUUUUCACUGACACAACACCCGGAAAAUAGAAAAAAAUCCCCGCCUCGAUUUUCAUUCGCGUUGCAGCGACAAAUUUGGUGCGUUCUUGCGGAUCUUGAAAAUCGCUCAACUCUGUUGUGAUAUCAACAAUUCUUAGGCUGUGAGUUACGCUAUACGGAAGAUAUUUCGCCAAAUAUAUCGCCGAGAAAAU